rnacentral:rRNA from 1 species
CACGCAGGCGGUUUGGUAAGUCAGGGGUGAAAGCCCACGGCUUAACUGUGGGAUUGCCUCUGAUACUGCCUUUCUGGAGUGCAGGAGAGGGAAGCGGAAUUCCGAGUGUAGAGGUGAAAUUCGUAGAUAUUCGGAGGAACACCGGUGGCGAAGGCGGCUUCCUGGCCUGUAACUGACGCUCAGGUGCGAAAGCGUGGGGAGCAAACAGGAUUAGAUACCCUGGUAGUCCACGCCCUAAACGAUGGGCACUAGGUGUGGGAGGUAUCGACCCCUUCCGUGCCGCAGCUAACGCAUUAAGUGCCCCGCCUGGGGAGUACGGCCGCAAGGUUGAA